CCGAGCCGCCCCGCCGGGACAGGGCAGGGCCGGGCCGGGCCGGAGGCGCCGUCAGAGGGAGAACACCAGGCGCGGCGCGGGCGGUUCCGGCUCCAGCUCCGGCCCGGGGAGAGGCGCGAUGGCUAGCAGCGAGAGCAGCCACGCCGCGGACAGCGCCCUGGGUUCCGACGCGGACGAGGAGGUGACCCGGGGGCCGGACACUGAGGAGGAGUCGGGGGGCGAGGAGGACGAGACGGCCGCGGAGUCGGAGUCGGAGUCGGAGCCGGAGCCGGACGCCAGGUUAUCAGACCAGAAUGAAGAGGGCAAGACCAAGCAGAAGUGUAUCAUAUCUGACCCCUCUUUUUCCAUGGUAACAGUUCAACGGGAAGAUAGUGGAAUAACCUGGGAGACUAAUUCAAGUAGGUCUUCCACUCCUUGGGCCUUGGAAGAAAGUCAGACCUCUGGUGUGUGUAGUCUGGAAGGGUUGACUCUGAAGUCUUCUCCAGGGAAUGUUUCCUUUAUUGUGGAUGAAGUUAAAAAAGUUCGGAAAAGAAAGCCUAAGUCAAAGCAUGGCUCACCAUCAUUGCGUCGGAAAGGCAACAAAAAAAGAAAUUCUUUUGAAUCCCAAGAUGUUCCAGCAAACAAAACAAGUAAUCCUCUAAUUUCAGAAAGCCAGGAACUAAAGACCCAGAAAGAGAAGUCAUCUACUGGCAUUUACAAUAAGAUGAGAACAAAGAAGACCGCCUCAAAUACACCUCCUGUUACUGGGGCAAUAUACAAAGAACACAAACCGUUAGUGUUAAGGCCAGUCUACAUAGGAACAGUACAAUAUAAAAUUAAGAUGUUUAAUUCUGUUAAAGAAGAAUUAAUUCCUUUACAAUUUUAUGGAACAUUGCCAAAGGGUUAUGUAAUUAAAGAAAUACAUUAUAGGAAGGGGAAAGAUGCGUCCAUUAGUCUAGAGCCAGAUUUGGGCAAUCAUGAUUCUAAUGUAGUUUCCAAAACAGGCAAAUCAGUAGCCCAAAGCAUAGACGAUGAUGAAGUAAAAGAGCUUGCUCCACCCUGGAGAGGUGCGGUUUCCAAAGGAUCAAAAUCCCUGACCUCAUUCAGUCAUGAAGAUCUAAAGAAAAUUUACGUUGAUUCUCCCUUAAGGGCUGCAUCUACUACCAAGCACACACCUUCCUCUUAUACAAGUAAUGACACAGCAGAACAAGAAACACAGCUCAGCGCUCCACAGUCAGUGCCACAGCUGCCAGCUGAUGAAGCAAAACCCCGUGAGAUAGAGCCUUCCUCUCUUACACCCAAUACAUCUGCACCUGCAUUCCUGGAAACAGCAGAGGAAGAAUCUGAGGCUGAUUCACGAGAAACGGUAACUGCAGAGCAUGACUCUUCAGUCUCACUGCCGUUAGUGGAUGAGGUAAGGACGGAAGACAUAUCUUCUGCUGACCAUUCCAUUUCACUGGAGGCAGAGAAGGGUUCUCAGGAAACACUUUCACCAGGUCUGACAGCCUCUAUCCAGGAAGAUUUUGGCCCAGAGAGAGAAGAACUGGAUCUGACUUCACCAGAAAGGGCAAAACCAGUCUCUGAACGACUGAACCCUCCUCAUCUCACUGUCAAAGGAGAGAAGGAUGAAAACAUGCUUGUGCCAUCCAUUUCUCUUUCUGAACCUCUAGUGUUAGAGGAACCAGAGAAAGAAGAAAUAGAAAAGCCUCUACCAAUAUAUGCUGCCCCUGAACCUGAAGAUUCUAAUUUAGUGAAAGAAGAGAUCAUAGAACUUGAUUACCCAGAAAGUCUAUCAGUUUCUGAGGAGCCCUUCCCACCAUGCUUGGCCCCUGAAGUGGAGCAGAAAGAAGAGGAGACCAUUCUGCCAUUACUGAUGACAUCAACGCCUGAACAUGUCACCUUGUCUGAGGAAGAAAGAGAGGAAAAUGAGUCUGUUUCUACUGAUUCUGCUUUCAUAUCGGAGUAUUCAGUCCCACAGGAUUUGAACUAUGAACAAGAGAAGCAAGAAAUUGAGCCAGUUUCUUCAUCUAAUGUAAAACCUCUAUCUGAACAUGCAGUUUUGUCAGAAGAGGAGAAUGAUGAAUUUGAGCCUUAUUCCCCAGCUUCAACCUCUGCAUCUGUCUCACCAUCUGCAACUGAGAAGACUCCUGAAUGCCAGUCCCCACUGUUUUCAACAGCUAUAGCAGAGCACAUGGUCCUUUCCAGAGAAGAGGCUUCAGAAAAUGGGCGUUACACACCACAUUCCACAUCUGCUUCUGAAUAUUCAAUUCCCUCACAGGCAACAAAAGAGUCACCAAAGAAAACAACUGACCAUAAGUCCCCAUUAACAUCAGAAGGUGUGUCUGAUCCCCUGAUUCUGUCAGAAGAGAAGGAAGACACUAGGCUGUAUUCCCCAGAGGUGGCCUCUGUAUCUGAACGUUCUCUCUCGCCAUACACAACCGAGGGGACUUCUGAAUGCCAGUCACCACUGCUUUCAACUGCUACAUCUGAACACAUGGCCCUAUCAGAAGAAGAGAACCUAGGAAAUGAGCGUUUUACACCAGAUUCAACACUGACUUCCCAACAUGCAGUCCCACCAAAUGUAACACAGGAAUCCCCAAAGAAAAUAACUGGUGAUGUCUCCCUGUUGAAAUCAAAAGGUAUUUCUGAGCACAAGACUCUGUUAGAAGAAGAGAAGGAGGACACCAGAUUCUAUCCCCCAGAGGUGGCCUCUGUAUCUGAAUGCUCUCUGCCACCAUACACAACUGAGGGGACUCCUGAAUGCCAGGCCCCACCACUUUCAGCCACCCCAUCCGAACAUGUGGUCCUCUCAGAAGAAGAGACAGUAGAGAUGGAGUGGUACACACCCUCUUCCACCUCUGAGUCUGAAUUUUCAAUACCACCAUAUGCAACACUGGAGUCACAGGAGGAAGAAAUUGUCCACAGAUCCCCUUUAAAUCUAAAAGGUGCCUCCUCACCCAUGAACUUCUCAGAAGAAGAGCAAGAAGACAUUGGACCUUUUUCUCCAGACUCUGCAUUUGUGUCAGAAUUCUCAUUCCCACCCUAUGGAACUCAGGAGACAGAGAAAAGAGAAUUUGAGUGUGAUUCUCCAAUAUGUUUAACAUCACCAUCUGAACACACAAUUUUGUCAGAUGAAGACACCGAAGAAGCUGAACUUUUUUCUCCAGAUUCAGCAUCACAAGCUUCCAUCCCACCAUAUAGGAUCCCAGAAACAAAUGAGGAAACUGAGCCUGAUUCACUGUUAACUGCAAUGGCUGCAUCAGGAUAUUCCUGCUUCUCAGAAGCAGAUGAGGAAGAAAUUGCACCAACUGCUACACCUGUACCUGAGCAUCUAAGUUCAUCACAGAAGCAAAGAACUGAAACUUCUCCUUUGGUGUCUGCACCUGAAGACUUGAGUUGGCUCCCUUCAACAAAUGAAGGAGAGAUUAAUCCAGAUGCUGAAACAACAUCAACAACUGUAUCUGAAUAUCUCAUUAUGGCACAGAAGCAGAGAACUCGAGCAUAUUUAGAACCUGAGUCUGAAGACUUGAUUCCACCGUGUUUAACCAGUGAUUCAGAGAAGGGAGAAAUUAAGACUAGUUCAUCACUAGCUGCAACACCUGCACAAUUGUCCAUGGCAAAGGAAGAAACCAAACCUGAUUUGCCUGUAUCUCAGCGUUCAGUUUCACCUGAUUCAGUCCAUGCAAUUAAGAAAGAACAAGAACCCAAAACAUCACUCACUCCAAAAUCUGCAGAUGAACAGACGGCUUUGUUAAAAGUUAAAAGUAAGGAAGAAAUUGUGCCUGAUUCUCAAGAAGCUAUAGCACAUGUAUUACGGGAUCAAGAAAUGGAGCUUCAGCCUCCAAAUGUUCCAGAGUCUGGGAUGAAAGAUUCAGUUCUGCCUGACUUGGUAGAUGAGCCAAAGAAGGAUGUCAAGCCCAAUUUAGCUCCAUCUGUGACAUCUGAACUAGAACAAAGAAGGUUGUCAGAGAAUGAGCCUGAAGUAAUAAAGCCAUAUUCACCUCUAAAGGAAACAUCUUUAUCUGGACCUGAGAUUUCAUCAGUAGUGAAAACAGAAGUGCAACUUGAUUUUAAAAUAACUGGUACACCUAGAGUGCUGCAUUCAGCGUCACCAGGAGUGGAAAAGGAAGUUGAGCAUGCACCACCCAUAUCAGAAUUUUCAGCUUUGUCAGAAGACAUAAAGAAAGAAAUUGAACCCAGUUCUUCAAUAACCACGACAUCUGUAACAAAGCAUGAUUCAAGCUUAACCAAAUUAGCAAAAGAAGAAAUCCCAACAGAUUUAUCUCUUACCACCACUAUAGAAUAUCCAGUCUUAACAGAAGUAAGAAAGAGUGAAUUAGGAAUUGGUUUGCCGCUUCAGAUGGUAACAUCUGUAGAUAAGCAUUCACUUCUUAAAGAAGACAAGGUAGCAAUUAAAGCUAGUUCUUCUCCCACUGAAACUGCUGCAUCCCAACGUCUGGCUUGGUCAGAAGUAGGGAAAGAAAUUAAAUUUGAUUUACCUGCAAGCAUAUCCUCUAUACCAGAGCAUUCUGUUUUGUCAAAGGUAGAAACUGAAAACAUUAAACCUGGGUUGGCAGUAACCAAAACAUUGUCUUCUCAGCAUUCAGAUGUAUCAAAGGAAGCAAGGGUGGAAAACAAACAAGAUCUUUCAUUUUCUACAGUCCUCAACUCUGAAUAUUUGGAUGUAUCACAGGAAAAAAAUUCUAUGUCUGCCUCAGAGAUGUCAGGACCUGACCAUGUGCUUUCGCUCAACCUAGGUGGUGAGAUAAAGAAAACAGAAACUGAACUUCCUUCUUCACAGAAUGUGUCACCUGCACUCAAGUAUAUAGUUACAAAAGGCAAAAAUGAGCAAACAGCAAAUUCUUUUCCUGAGUUAGAAUUAGCAACAGAAGAUUUAGCUUCAACAUUACCAACCCUCUGUGGUGAUAAGAGCAAACAGGCAAUGGAGGCACCUUCUAUAGUUCAGCGAGAUUUCCUGUCAGAAAAACAAGAUCUUGCUCUGGCGCAGCUCUCUUUGGAACCUGAGAAGGAAGACAAGCCACAUCAAGUAUCAGAAUUACCAAAUUCUGGCUCUGAAUUUACUGGUGGUUUAGGUAGGCAAAGUGAAUCCAUAGAUACAAGACAAAUAAAAUCUCCCAUAACUGAAACAGGGGAUUCUGUCCUAGAAAAGGGCCUAGCUGAACUUAGGAGCAGAAGAGAAGGAAAAGAAGAAAACAGGGGACUUCAUGUGUCAACUACAGUGCCUGAAAUUUCAGAGGUUUCAUCAUGCCUUAGGGAGGAACCUCAGAUUCAAGAAAUUAAAUCUUUCUUUCCUAAGGUAGUUAGCUUACAAUCAAGGGAAGCAUUUACCUCUCUAGUUGAAGGAGACAACCCAGAAGAACUUCAGCCAUACACUUUUUCUUUAAAGGGAUUAUCAGGAGAGUUGAACGAUUCAGUUGACUUUAAAAAAGAAGGAAAACAAGAAAUAAGCCUGUUACUGCCAACAGGAAAUUUGAAUGCACAAGUGACAGAUAAUACUGUAACUAAACUAAAUGAAGAAACUGACCAACCAAAUUCAUUUCAUAUACUCCAGAGUGUAACAGAGCCAUCAAAGAUUGCUUCUUCUGACCUCCCUGUGGAAGAAGAGAAGCCUGAAAAAGAACUUCAUUCAGACCAAGCUGUUAAAUUACCUGACGUAAACAGAUCUUUUGCAGAUAAACAAGAUAUGGGUAUUAAACAAUUUUUGUCUAUGAAAGAAAAUUUGCCUUUGGAAGAAUCAAAAUCAUUUAUGACAACUGAGCCUACAGAUGUUAAAGAAACACACAGGAAAGAGGCCCUUAUUUCUCCAAAGGAUGAAAAUUGGAUGUUGAAAAAGCCAGAGAGAGACUUGGCAAGUCAUCAUGAAGGAAGAGUCCCUGGAUCUGUGCAGCUGGGUUCCUCUGGUACCAGUGAUCUGAUGACAGGGCAGCUCACGCCUGCUCUGUCAGAGAAAGACCACGCAACUGAAAUCAGAAGGCAAAUUCUGCCGCAUUCUGCAGAAGAAUCUCACUUAUCAUUACAAGAACCAGUGUCUACUCUCGAUACCUCUAGUGGUAACGUAGAGACCUUAGCAACUAAAACUUAUUCUUCUGAAGAAAUAAAGCUGGCCCCCAAACCAAAAUCUUUAGUUCCAGCUGGAAAUGUGGAGAGAAAUGAAGCAGAAGGGAAGCAGACCCUUUCUUUAGUGGGGAGUGAAAGUUUGGUAUCGGAGAAACCAAACACAGAAUUUUCCAGGCCUUGCAAAGAAGACAGCUGGGAAGAAAUCAAAACACCAUCUGAAAGAAUCCUCCAGAAACCAGUGUCUGGCCCAUCAACAGAAGAGGUCAAAUCAGAAACUCUUCCCUCUCUUGCCAAAGCAGCCCAUUUCCUGGCAGAAGAAGCAGAACUUGCACUGGGCAAUGAAAAAGAAGCACACAGGCGUAUAUCUCCCUUACCUGGAGAAGAAUCAAAAGUGGUUCAGUCAAAGGUUGUAGAUGAUGCUGAGAGAGGGAAACCAGCAUCUGAAGUGAAAACACCCACACAAAUAAAACCCCUCUCCUCAACCCAAGAAAAUGAAGAACCUCAACCCCCAGAGUCACCCGAGGUCAUACAAAAGCUGCCCAAGCAGCAGAAGGCAGUGGAGCCAGGCCUCUCUGAGGAAAAGGGAAAGAAAGGAAUUUCAUCUUUCACAUCGUGGUUGCCUAGUUUGUUUUUACAAUCAAGCACUCCAGAUAACAAAGUUGCAGAAAAAGAAGAUUUAGCAGCUCAGCCAAGCCCAUCUGUAGAAAAAGCAGUGACUGUGAUAGAGCCUAGAGGUCCUGCUCCAGCUGAUGUUCAUGCAACUGAGAAGCCAGCAGAUCAUCUAUUGCUAGAGGCCAAACCUGAAACUCCUGCAGAAUCCACAUGUUCUUUAGUUAAAUCUGGUGAAGGUCAAGACUUUAAAGAAAAACCCACAUUGUUAUCAAAUGUAGAAGUUUUGCCACAGCCAAAAUCCAACUUUGAGGCAUCUAGUGAAGAUUAUGGGAAGAAAGAAGUCCUAGACUAUUCAGAGGAAAUGGACCUAAACUCAGUAGUUACUUCUGCUGAUGGUGAGGGACAUCUUAGAAUUCAAUCUUAUUCUCCCAUGGGUGAGAAAUCCAUUAUGGAAGAAGCCAAAAAUGCUGUUCAUCUUCAUAUCACUGAUGGUAAAAGACCCCAGAAGCCAGAAAUCUCCCCUCCAUCUAAAUGGAAUAUUUCUAUCCUUAAAGAAGAGCCAGGAAGUGAUCAAAAAGAAAAAUCACUCUUUUUAUUUGAUGCAAUAGAUAAGGUGCCACAACAGCCAAAAUCAGCUUCAUCUAGCUUUGCAAGUAAAAAUAUCACAGAGGAAUCAGAGAAACUGCAGUCAAUAAUUUUGCCAGUAGAAGAACCUAAAGACAGUUUAAUUGAUCUUGGUGAAGACAGACUAGAGAAAGAGAUGCCAAAACCUACUUCCUUGAAAAUUUCUGAAGAGGAAAUAAAACUCAGAUCUGUUAGCCCAACUGAGGAGAAAGGUAACUUGGGCAUUAGAUCAUAUUCCUUGGAAGAAAAGAAGGUGCUGGCAGAAAAACAAGAAACGGUGGCCCCAUUAGAGCUUAGAGGUAAUAAUGAAAUAGGGAAGGCACAAAUUACACAUGGAUCUAUCCCUAUUAAAUUGGAAGAACCAAAAGCUGCUACUGCGCUGCAGCAAGUCUAUCAAAAUGAUGACCACAAAGAAAGAUACAAAAUUAUUGAGGAGGGUAAAGGAGAAGAAAAAGAAGAGCAGUCACAUGCAUUUUUAGAAGGAAAAGAGCAGCAGGAAGUUCAGGCUUAUUCCGUGAAUAUAGCCAGGCAUAUGCCUGAAGAGUCAGAUAUCUCUUUCAGUCAUUCUUUGGGUGAAAGUCAACCAUUUUCAUUAGUUAAAACUACAGAAAUUACUGAAAAAUCAAAAACCAUGAUCUCAGAGGCUCACCCAGAAAUCAGGGAAACAAAGGCAGUAGGAACCCAACCACAUCCAUUAGAAGAACGUGAAGUUUUGGUGGAGAAAACCAAGACUUUCCUUCCAGUAGAUCUUCCUUAUCGUGAUGAAAUAAAUGAUCACUCUUUACUGAAGGAAGGAAAUCUGGUAUUGGACAAGUCAAGCAGGCAUGUGGUAAGUCACAAUGAAGAAAGGGGACAGGUCACAGCGUCAGAGCUGCCAAAAGGUGGCUCAGUAGAUACCACAAAAGAAAGUAAACAAGGAUCUCCAUCUAAAGAAUCUGAAAGGAUUUUAGAUCCAUGGUUAGAAUUGACUCCAGAGAGGCAUAUGCUCCAUAUUAUUGAAACAUCUCAAGAUAAAGCAUCUGAAAUGUCUGAACAAUCUGUUCUUGUUUCAAAGCACCACUUGGAAGCUCUGGAAGAUGCCCAUGUAAAUGAACCAUGCUCUUCAGUGAGCAGCAACUAUGCUCAGUUUAUAACUAAUGCAUCAACAAUCAGUAUUGAGGAGAUGAUUUCCAAGGAGCCUGAAGACACAUAUGUAAGAGAUGAAGAAUUUACAGUGACUAGUAAGCCAGCUGGACUUUCAGAAGAGCAAAAGAGUGCCUUCAGUAUCAUUUCUGAAGGUUGUGAGAUAUUGAACAUUCAUGCUCCUGCAUUUAUUUCUUCAGUUGAUGAAGAAGAAAGUGAACAAAUCCAAGAUAAGUUAGACUAUUUGGAAGAGAAGCCCUCAUUUAAGCCUAUACCCUUCCAUGAUGAGAGUGAGGCAGUUGCUUGCUAUAAAACAUUACAGAGUAAGUUAGAAGAUUCUGAUAAAAAAGUUAUACCAUCGAAAGAAGACCAAAAAAAGGAAACUCAUACAACCAAAGAGGAGAUAUCCACAGAUUCAGAAACUGGUGAUUUAGCCUUUAAUCAGCCUGCAAUUCCCAGUGAAGAGGAUUAUUUUGAAAAAUAUACAUUGAUUGAUUAUAACAUCUCCCCAGACCCAGAAAAACAGAGAACUCCAUGGAAAUUAAAUGUUGAAGGAGAGCUGUCAAAGGAAGUUCCAAGAGAAACUGUCUCUCUCUCAGAACGUUCAGUGGAAAGUGCCCUAGAAUAUGAGUAUGAAUUGGUGAAAUUAGAUGAAAGUUUUUAUGGACUAGAAAAGGACUACAGCAAAUUAUCUGACCCAGAGACGCAAAAGUCUUCAGUUAUCCAAAAAUCAGCUGACAGAUAUGCUCCAAAGAGCAUAAGUAGAGAUGUGGACUCAAAGUCACCUGGGAUGCCUUUAUUUGGUGAAGAGGAAGGAGUUUUGUCACGAACCCAGAUAUUUCCUACCACUGCUAAAGGCAUUAAUCCUGAACUUCUGGAGGAGCCACCUGCACUGGCAUUUUUAUAUAAAGAUCUGUAUGAAGAAGCAGUUGGAGAGAAAAAGAAAGAAGGGGAGACAGCUUCUGAAGGUGACAGUGUGAAUUCUGAAGCAUCAUUUCCAAGCAGAAAUUCUGACACUGAUGAUGGAACAGGAAUAUAUUUUGAGAAGUACAUACUCAAAGAUGACAUUCUCCAUGACACAUCUGUAACUGAAAAGGACCAAGACCAAGGUCUAGAAGAAAAGCCAGUUGGUAAGGAUGAUUCAUACCAAUCAAUAAUUGAAGAAGGAGAAAUUUGGGGGAGGUUUGAAACUAUUUGCGGGGAGGAGAGUCUGGAAGAGAAAGAGAAGGCAGCUUACAGGGAAGGAGAAUCAGUAGACCACGUGGAGGCUCUUGACAGUGUAGCUAUGCAGAGGAAAGCUUCCAUCACCGAGGAAGUCAGAGUGGUUACCCAGAGGGUAAGCUAUGCGGUUCCAUUUGAAGACACUCAUCAUGUCCUGGAGAGAGUAGAUGAAAUGAGCAGCCAGACUAAUGAAGCAGCAAAUGCAAAUCCAGAGGUCAGUCUGAAUGUCCCAGUACAAGUGUCCUUCCCAGAGGAAGAAUUUGCAUCUGGUGCAACUUGUGUUCAAGAAACACUGCAAGAAGAACCUCAAAUAAUUGUUCCCCCUGAGCUGAGUGAAGACCGGCUCCGCAGUAGCCCUGUUCAGGAUGAGUAUGAAUUUGCUGAAUCCCUGAAUUACGAAGUGGUUACUCAAGACACUUUAUCAGAAGAACGGUAUUCAGAAUCCACCCCUGAAGAUGUGUUAUCUCAAGGAAAGGAAUCCUUUGAACAUGUCAGUGAAAAUGAAUUUGUGAGUGAGGUGGAACAAAGUAAGUCUGCUGAACAGGAAGAGUUGGACAGAGAGAUGACAGAACAAGACCAGUUAUCAUCAGAGUUGGUAACUGAGAAGGAACAAAAGGAAUUGAAAAAGUCCCAGAUUGACACAUAUUGCCACACAUGUAAAAGCCCAAUUUCUGCUGUUGACAAGCUCUUUGGCACCCACAAAGACCAUGAGGUUUCAACACUUGAUACAGCUAUAAGUGCUGUAAAGGUUCAAUUAGCAGACUUUCUAGAAGAUUUACAAGAAAAAUCCUUGAGGAUUGAAGCCUUUGUUAGUGAGAUAGAAUCCUUUUUUAAUACUAUUGAGGAAAACUGUAGUAAAAAUGAGAAAAGCCUAGAAGAACAGAAUGAGGAAAUGAUGAAAAAGGUUUUAGCGCAGUAUGAUGAGAAAGCCCAGAGCUUUGAGGAAGUGAAGAAAAAGAAGAUGGAGUUCCUACAUGACCAGAUGGUCCACUUUCUGCAGAGCAUGGACACUGCCAAGGACACCCUGGAGACCAUCGUGAGAGAAGUCGAGGAGCUUGAUGAGACCGUUUUCUUGACUUCGUUUGAGGAAAUCAAUGAAAGGUUGCUUUCUGCAAUGGAGAGCACUGCUUCUUUAGAGAGAAUGCCUGCUGCAUUUUCACUUUUUGAACAUUAUGAUGACAGCUCGGCAAGAAGUGACCAGAUGUUAAAACAAGUGGCUGUUCCACAGCCUCCUAGAUUAGAACCUCAGGAACCAAAUUCUGCCACUAGCACAACGAUUGCAGUUUACUGGAGCAUGAACAAGGAAGAUGUCAUUGACUCAUUCCAGGUUUACUGCAUGGAGGAGCCACAGGAUGACCAGGAAGUAAAUGAUUUGGUAGAAGAAUACAGAGUGACCGUGAAAGAAAGCUACUGCGUUUUUGAAGAUUUAGAACCUGACCGAUGCUAUCAAGUAUGGGUAAUGGCUGUGAAUUUCACCGGAUGUAGCCUGCCCAGCGAAAGGGCAAUUUUUAGAACAGCGCCCUCCACCCCUGUAAUCUGUGCCGAGGACUGUACUGUGUGUUGGAACACAGCCACCAUCCGAUGGCGGCCUGCCAACCCAGAGGCCACUGAGACCUACACUUUGGAGUACUGCAGACAGCACUCUCCCGAGGGCGAGGGCCUCAGAUCUUUCUCUGGAAUUAAAGGACUCCAACUGAAAGUUAACCUCCAACCCAAUGACAAUUACUUUUUCUACGUGAAAGCCAUCAGUGCAUUUGGGACAAGUGAACAGAGUGAAGCUGCCCUCAUUUCCACCAGAGGAACGAGAUUUCUCCUGCUGAGGGAAACGGCUCAUCCCGCCCUGCAGAUUUCCUCAGAUGGGACAGUGAUUAGCUUCACUGAGAGGAGACGGCUGACAGAGUUGUGUUCCUUGCAAGCUCCUGUGGUCACAAGAAAACCCUCAAAGGGCACAAGAAACAUAGGUGCCUGACACAGUUGACAGUGGGCUGACAACCCUCUAAUACAGCUGCUGGUGCACUCAGAAUCACUGUGUGUCAACUUCCUACUUCUCUCCACUUGAAUAUUUGAGGGCUGUCUCCAAACAGUCCUUGGAUUGUCAGUCAGAAGGAGAAAAACGUUUGGGUCCUUCAAGCAGAAGCUCCAAACAGAGUCUGUUUGCCGGUCACCUAGUUUUCUCAAUGACUGGAGUCUAGCCCAGAGUCUCCUGGGAGAAGCAGAACAAGUACACAGGAAGAGGAUGAGCGCACGCAGGCUCCCUGUCGCCACAAACCUUUGCUGCCACCUAGUACCUGGGGGAGAGAGGCACCCCUGAAUGGCCUCGGGCAUCCACAGCUCCUUUCCCCUCUGUCCACACUCACAGCUCCGGUGGCAAGGUGGCUCUACGGCCAAGCACUGCCCAGGGAGCUGGUGGGCCAAAUGCUGUCCUAAUGCCUAGAACACGCUGCUUGAGGCUCCUCCCUGCACCUCCUUCUCUCCUCUCUCUACCCCAGGGCUCAGGAUUGGAGGAACCUUGAGCUUCCUCUGGAGGCCAAGAAGCACCACUGAUGUGGAGGUCUCCAUCUAGCCAUCCCAGAGGCAGCAAGGGAAGCCUGUGGCCUGGGUUUGAUGCCAUGCGACACAUUUUAAUAAGCAUCCGCCGUAGGAAAGGCAGUAUUAAGUGCAGUAGGAAAGACAGGGUUUUAUUUCUGUCGAGAGCUUUUUACGGCACCAGUUCCACGGAUCCCCACCCCACCCCGACCCAUCUGCUCGCUCCUUGGGUACAGGCAGGAGACUUUUCUGGGUACAGAACUACAGAAAGAAGCAGAUUGGACUGUGGCGAAUGCAAACCUGGCAUGUUUCCUGGGGAAAAAAAACUUUUUUUCGGCUCUUGGUUCCCCAGAGAAUAAUGUACCCAAACAAAGUGGAUCCUGUGAAUAUUCCUCACCAGGACAAUUUUUACCCAGGUUAAGUAGAGAAUUCCACAGCCUAAAUUUGGGCCUAAAUAUACCCAAAUCACACUCAAUUCUUUACCUGCUUCUCCACCUGAUUCUCUUAUUUGAUACUCAGAGACUUUAGGUCCAGCUUUAUAGAGUGGAAUUUGGUUGGACUUUUCCUGGUAAGACGGCUCAUCCGAUCUGGUGGGCCUAACUCCUCCAAGCUACGACAGUUUAUGUUUAGACACUUUCUGGAAUGAAGGGGCUCACGGCCUCUCUGAGCCAUGUCUUCUACACUGGGGUAGCUCACCAGUAACAGAGCCAGCGGAGCAUUCUCAAGGGGCACCACCAGGGACAGGAGCGAAGGGCAGUUGGGAGGGCCAGUCUCUGUCAGGGAAGGUGUAAGGAAGAUACCCUUCACCAAAUAGGCGGGAACGCAGUUUGCGGAGUAUGCAGUAGUGGGGCAGACCCCGUCUUGGGAAGACGCCCCCCCCCUUGGGGACUCCUCCAAAGGGACUCAAAGGGGAUUUGGAGGCAAAUUACAUAGUGUCAGCAUGCCAUCAAUCCAGUGGGGCUCUGAGAGUUGAGCCAGGCAUCCAGGGCAUGCUGAUGUCUGCUAAUCUCCUCAGAAUGGCAUCCUGUUCCCCAUGGCAGAGCAGAGAAGAGUGGGGAAGCUCAGAGUCAGACACACAGAUCUUAGGCAGGACCCGAAGAUCCUCAGGGGCCUGCCUUAAUGGUUGCUCUGCUCCUCAGAGCACAGGAGAAGCAGAAAUGGAUGGAGGCCCACAGGAUUAUUUUUUCCUCAGGUUCCAUGUGUACAAUGAGGUUUGCUGCCUGGGGGCUGGUGGGCUUGAACAUUUAGAGCUCUCCAGCUGGUUGAGGAGAGGGUCUUUGUCAAACAGCACUGAACUGGGGCGGUUUCUCUGUUAAGAGAAGAGAGGGCCUUCAAGGGCAGCAGGAGUGAAGGUGACCUCCAACCUGUCUAUGGGGAGCUCCCCACUAUUAACACUCCUGAGGCUACAACUUCACUGACCAUUUGGAAAACAAAUCA